GAUGAAGAACGUAGCGAAAUGCGAUACGUAAUGUGAAUUGCAAAUUCAGUGAAUCAUCGAGUCUUUGAACGCACAUUGCGCCCCCUGGUAUUCCGGGGGGCAUGCCUGUCCGAGCGUCAUUGCUGCCCUCAAGCACGGCUUGUGUGUUGGGCCCCGUCCUCCGAUCCCGGGGGACGGGCCCGAAAGGCAGCGGCGGCACCGCGUCCGGUCCUCGAGCGUAUGGGGCUUUGUCACCCGCUCUGUAGGCCCGGCCGGCGCUUGCCGAUCAACCCAAAUUUUUAUCCAGGUUGACCUCGGACCAGGUAGGGAUACCCGCUGAACUUAAGCAUAUCAAUAAGCGGAGGA
rnacentral:misc_RNA from 1 species